AACGUGCUCUUCUACUGUCCCCUGAGUCCGUGUUUACUGCAGUAUCGGUACUUUACUCCACGACUGUCCUUCAUCCUGCAGUCACUACUUUCCCUUUUGCAUUUAUAAAUGGCUUUAUAAUGAUCUACCUCACGACAUGAGCGGUUUAUAACUGCAGCACACCGUCUGGAGGCAUUAAAAGUGUCCGAGAAGAUGUCCAAAAUCUUCCCCCACACUGACCCGGAGACUGUUCAGAGAUGAGAAGAUGGCAGAUGUUUACUGUAUGAUGACCGUAAUGGCCCUAAACACCCAGCAGCACAAGACAUCAGCAGAACCUCAGAUUGAUGUUGUCCCCUAAGGGCCUUGCAAUGAAAAUCAGGUUGGCGUCAGUUCUGCCGGGUUCUGCCGCUCUGCAUUGCUGAUUCUGUGUGUUUCUUUGCAGAACUUUUACGAGAAGCCGGCGUUCGACCAUCCGCUCAGCCAGAUGAGUGUGUGGCUGCUGCUGGGUAAUGAAGGCCUGGAGAAGGAGCGUAACACUAGCUUCUGCUCGCCCGCACCCUCCGCCAUCAUCUUCGGCCGCGCAGAUGGAGACCGGGUGGCGGUGACCCGAGACCUGGCGCUGAGGCCCGGAUACACUCUGCAGUUCAAGCUGAAUAUAGGCUGUGAGUCGGUGUUCAGUGCGUCGGCGCCGGUGCUGCUCCAGUAUUCUCAUGACGCGGGCCGCACCUGGGCUCUGGUUCAGGAUGGCUGUUUCCCAGAAUCCCCUGCGGCGUCCGGCUGUGAGGGCAGCGGUCGUGAACUCCGGGAGCCCAGCGUCUACUACACUGGGGACUACGAGCGCUGGACCCGCAUCACUGUGGUGAUACCGCGAGCCGUGGCCGCCAGCAAGACGCGCUUCCGCUGGUUCCAGGAGAGCAGUGUGUAUCGGGACGCUCCGCCCUUCGCUCUAGACGGCGUCUACAUCUCUGAGCCGUGCCCCAACCACUGCGGCGGCCAUGGAGACUGCAUCUCCGGCGUCUGCUUCUGCGACAUGGGAUACACCGGUAACACACACACACACACACACACACACACACACACACACACACACACACUGCAAACUAAACAUUUCAUUAUUUCGAGUUUGUGUCCUGUUUCUGGUCCACAUAUCUCCAAACUCUUCAGUCAGACCAGCACAGCAGACAGUGUUGACUGAGGAGAGAUUCACCUUAAACAGAAUAACCUGAUGUCAAAAUCAAAACAAGAGUUUAUUUACUCGCCCCAUUGGCAUUGAUGUGAUGUGUUUAUAAAUGUGUGUGUGUGUGUGUGUGUGUGUGUGUGUGUGUGUGUGUCAGUGGAGUUGGAGCGCUCCAGCUGUGUGCCGUCUGCAGUGAGUCCCUCUGAGCUGUCGGACGGGUUCGAGGGUAAGCUGAGCGCGCAGUGGCAGAGUCUGAGCGGCGGGGCGGUGGGCGACGGCUGCGGGACCAUCGGCGAGGGGAAAGCUCUGUACUUCAGCAGUCUGGGCCGACGGGAGGCUCGCACCGCACCGCUGGACACCACACACACACGGUCAGUGCACACUCAUACGCACACCACUGGACACGACACACACACACACAGCGAGUACACUAACACACACACUCACCCUCUGCUCUUCUGUCUCCUGCAGGUUGGUUCAGUUCUAUAUUCGCAUCGGGGGGAAGAACAUGGGCUCCUCCUGCACUCGGCCCCGCGCACGGAAUGAAGGUGUGUGUGUGUUCAUCAGCUGCACUGGUGGAGUACAGGACUGACACACACACACACACACACACACACACACACACACACACACACACAGGAAAAUUUUAGGUNNNNNNNNNNNNNNNNNNNNNNNNNNNNNNNNNNNNNNNNNNNNNNNNNNNNNNNNNNNNNNNNNNNNNNNNNNNNNNNNNNNNNNNNNNNNNNNNNNNNUAAGGGUGAGCAUGAGUUACCUGUCUGACACUAACCCUGACCACCGCAUGAUGCUGACUGUGUGUGUGUGUGUGUGUGUGUGCAGGAGUGCCGGAGCGCUCUCACUCAGUGCUGCUGCAGUAUUCAGUGAAUGGAGGGAUCAGCUGGCAGCUCAUAGAUGACUUUUAUUUCCCCACAUCCACCGACACACUGUUCGUCCACAUGAGCCUCCCUGCCAGCGCUCAGACCAACGCCACACGCUUCCGCCUGUGGCAGCCCUACAACAGCGGUGAGAGCACACACACACACACACACACACACACACACACACACACACACACACACUCUCUAGUAGUGGAGGAUUGCGAGCGCAGCUGUGUGUUGGUUUCAGGCUUUGUCCCAUUACUACACUGGUCCCCUUGUCUGUCUGUGCUCCCUCAGGUAAGAAGGAGGAGGUGUGGGUGUUGGAUGACCUGCUGCUGGACGGAGACUCCCUCAGCAGAGCGCCGCUGGUGCUGGACGGCUUUGAGUCCGGCCCGCAGGAGCAGAACUGGCUGUUUUACCCUGGAGGGAACACCGGCUUCUACUGCCCCUACCAGAGAGCAGGAGCGUGAGUGUGUUCUCAUCACACCGCAGCACACACUGAUCAUACACACCGCAGCACACACUGAUGAUACACACCGCAGCACACACUGAUGAUACACACCGCAGCACACACUGAUGAUACACACCGCAGCACACACUGAUGAUACACACCGCAACACACACUGAUGAGACACACCGCAACACACACUGAUGAUACACACCGCAGCACACACUGAUGAUACACACCGCAGCACACACUGAUGAUACACACCGCAGCACACACACUGAUCAUACACACCGCAGCACACACUGAUGAUACACACCGCAGCACACACUGAUCAUACACACCGCAGCACACACUGAUGAUACACACCGCAGCACACACACUGAUCAUACACACCGCAGCACACACUGAUCAUACACACCGCAGCACACACUGAUGAUACACACCGCAGCACACACACUGAUCAUACACACCGCAGCACACACUGAUGAUACACACCGCAGUUUGGCUGAGUUGGUGCUGGGCUGCUCCUCUAUAGAGAACGGGCAGCUGUAUUGUGUCUGUGACCCGCUGCCCUCAUUAGUUCCCCCAUCUCAGGCGUCAUGCAGCAGCAAAGUGCGGUGUGUAUCCUCACUCAGAGCAGACGCAGCCGUCGGUCUUAAUGCUGUGUGUUUGUGUGUGUGUUGUUGUGCUGUUGUUCUUCAGGGAAGAGGACUCCGCCAUGGUGUUCAUGUCCAGCGAGCUCGGCGAACACUCCAUCACCACCCGAGACAUCGACGUCAACGAGAACACCGUCGUCCAGUUCCAGGUGAAGCUCGUUCCCCUCCGAACACUCUCACAGUCGCGCUGACCCUCUCGUUAUCCUAGUCCAGAUCAGCAGUACAGGGUUAGCUCAGCCUAAACUGGAGAAGGUGUCCGGUGUAUCGCACAUGACGGUCCUGCUUCAGUCUAAUCCAGUCUGAGAUGCUUAUAGAACCACUCCUCCUACAAUAGUGCGGGU
ensembl:lincRNA